UAAACGACUCUCGGCAACGGAUAUCUCGGCUCUUGCAUCGAUGAAGAACGUAGCGAAAUGCGAUACUUGGUGUGAAUUGCAGAAUCCCGUGAACCAUCGAGUCUUUGAACGCAAGUUGCGCCCGAAGCCAUUAGGUUGAGGGCACGCCUGCCUGGGUGUCACAA
rnacentral:rRNA from 1 species